rnacentral:piRNA from 1 species
AGCAGUUAGGAUGCUUGCAAUCAUGAAGAC